rnacentral:lncRNA from 1 species
GGAGUGGACUCCACGUUGUGCCCAGCUUGUUUGCAGAGGGAAGGGACAGACAUGUGGGCCGAGAACCGAGGGCCCUGCUGCCACCCGCCAACCCUGUGACCCUGACCCUACAGGAUUAGAUGCCGUCACAGACAUGCAUGGCUGUCUCUGGAGCCCCCUUUCCAAGGCCCUCGCCAAGAAGGAUGAGCCGUUUGCUGUUCUCCUCUGAGGCCGGGAGCCGCUGAGCCCUGAAGUGGCAGAGGGACAGAGAGACUGUAAGGAGCAGGAGAGUCGGGACCACCAGCGUCUCUGCAGAGGCUCCCUGCCUCCCGACUGUCCCACCCCACUCACCACCAGAGCUGCGACAGUCACUGAGGGGGAAGAGCAGGUGAAUGGGGCAGCCAUGUCCCCACGCCGCCCUCCCGCAGGGCUGGGAAAAUCAAGCAAGAACUUCAUGCUAGACUUAGCAGUCAAUUUUGUAUCAGUUUUCAUUCGCCACCAGGAAUCAAGGUCAAAGGAAAAGAAAGGAAGAAAAGAAGAUGUGAGUUAUCCUAGAGGUUAUGUUCAGCACAUCCAAGACUCAAUGCCUUUAAUCUCGGGUGGGCCAGAAGGGCCACUUGGUCAGGACCUCAUCAGAAAACAGAAAGCCAAACGUGGGUACCGAGAAUGCAGGUACCAAGAGCGCAAAGGCAGGUUGGACGGGCAGAGGAAGCGACGGGGAUGGACGAAUGCCUGCCAUUAGCAGGAGCAGGGAGCCCUCAGCGCCAGCGUAGGGAACAGUCACCAGAACCUGGACACAGGCAAGGGCCACCAGGCAGGAAGCAUGGCCUUGAUGGAGACUGUAGAGCUGGGCCUUGCUUGCUCAGCAAAGGCCCACAAGCCCAUUGCAACCACAUGUCUUCCUGGCUCCCCUCUGGGCAGGACACCCAGCUGCUGGGAUUUGUAAGGACCCAGGGCCCGGCCAGCCCGGAUCCGGCCUUCCUCACUGCAAGAACAUGGCGUCCUGAAGGGACACAGGGCCCGUCCACGUGAGUGACUCUUUCUGGAACACUGGUCGUCCCAGGGACAGCCCGUUGGCAGGCACAUAGCCUUUGUGUCCCCCGCCUAUGUAAGAAACCCCCUCCCUGCCCGUGGCAGUGGGUGCACGUUGCUGUCCAGCUGGCAGCCACUGGACCUCCCUGUAAGUACCUCCCAAUAAACCCACACAUCUCCUUCACUGACCCCGGGUCUUUUCUGGUCUCUCCGCAGCCUACCCCACACUGCUCAUCCAGCAGGGCAUGUGCAGGACAGAGGGACCAUAGGGAGACACUCGGGGAGGAAACAGGGGCAUAACUUCCUGACCUCCUGCCCCCCACCCUCCUGUCUCCUACCAGCUCUGACUUCCAUUGGCCAAACCCAACAGGAAGCUAGAAGGUACGGGAGUCUGUUCACGGGCUCCAUCGUGAAGGCGAGCCCCCAGGGCCGGGGCUUGUGGACAAGGGUGCACAGCGUGUCUGGAGGGGCAAACAGGAGGUACCCAGCAGAGCCCAUCUCUUCUGUCCCUCAGCAUCCGCACAGGGCUUUAAUGGACAAG